AUCUUUAUACUUGGAGUAAUGAUGCAAUUACUAAGAUUAAAUCAAGAUGUAUCAAUUGUUGGUUAAAAACUAUUUCUAGCUCCUCUGUGGUGCUUGGAAGGAUGUCCUGAAAUAUUUGGAAGGUUUGGUAUGUGUCAAGAC
rnacentral:snRNA from 1 species